UGGGGAAUAUUGGACAAUGGGGGCAACCCUGAUCCAGCCAUGCCGCGUGAGUGACGAAGGCCUUAGGGUUGUAAAACUCUUUCGUCGGGGACGAUAAUGACGGUACCCGAAGAAGAAGCUCCGGCUAACUUCGUGCCAGCAGCCGCGGUAAUACGAAGGGAGCUAGCGUUGUUCGGAAUCACUGGGCGUAAAGCGCACGUAGGCGGAUAGUUAAGUCAGGGGUGAAAUCCUGGGGCUCAACCCCAGAACUGUGGCUGAAACGGCAUAACUAGAGGAUGGCAGGGAUGUAUGGAACUCAUGGAGUAGGGGUGAAAUCCGUUGAUAUCAUGGGGAACACCAAAAGCGAAGGCAGUACAUUGGGCCACUCCUGACACUGAAACACGAAAGCGUAGGUAGCGAAUGGGAUUAGAUACCCCAGUAGUCCCUGAGCGGGCUGGCAAGGCGCAU
rnacentral:rRNA from 1 species